UCUCCGUUGGUGGACCAGCGGAGGGAUCAUUACCGAGUUUACAACUCCCAAACCCCAAUGUGAACGUUACCAAACUGUUGCCUCGGCGGGAUUUCUGCCCCAGGCGCGUCGCAGCCCCGGACCAAGGCGCCCGCCGGAGGACCAACCCAAAACUCUUUUGUAUACCCCCUCGCGGGUUUUUUAUAUCUGAGCCUUCUCGGCGCCCCUAGCGGGCGUUUCGAAAAUGAAUCAAAACUUUCAACAACGGAUCUCUUGGUUCUG
rnacentral:misc_RNA from 1 species